rnacentral:rRNA from 1 species
CGGUGGCGGAUGGGCAUGCGGCGCAUUAGCUAGUCGGCGGGGUAACGGCCCACCGAGGCGACGAUGCGUAGGGGUUCUGAGAGGAAGGUCCCCCACACUGGUACUGAGACACGGACCAGACUCCUACGGGAGGCAGCAGUGAGGAAUAUUGGUCAAUGGGCGCGAGCCUGAACCAGCCAAGUCGCGUGAGGGAUGACGGUCCUACGGAUUGUAAACCUCUUUUGCCGGGGAGCAAGCGUGCGUUCGUGAACGCGCGUCGAGAGUACCCGGAGAAAAAGCAUCGGCUAACUCCGUGCCAGCAGCCGCGGUAAUACGGAGGAUGCGAGCGUUAUCCGGAUUUAUUGGGUUUAAAGGGUGCGUAGGCGGGAUGCCAAGUCAGCGGUAAAAAUGCGGUGCUCAACGCCGUCGAGCCGUUGAAACUGGCGUUCUUGAGUGGGCGAGAAGUAUGCGGAAUGCGUGGUGUAGCGGUGAAAUGCAUAGAUAUCACGCAGAACUCCGAUUGCGAAAGCAGCAUACCGGCGCCCUACUGACGCUGAGGCACGAAAGCGUGGGUAUCGAACAGGAUUAGAUACCCUGGUAGUCCACGCAGUAAACGAUGAAUGCUAACUGUCCGGCUCGAAUGAGCGCUGG